GCCACUGCUAUUGGGGUUCGGCUAAGCCAUGCGAGUGGAGGGCGUCCCGCAAGGGAUGGCCCCGCAGACGGCUCAGUAACACGUCGUCAACCCACUUUAGGGUGGGGGACAACCUCGGGAAACUGAGGAUAAUCCCCCAUAGGCGGGGGAGGCUGGAAUGCGCCCCCGCUGAAAGCUCAGGCGCCCUAGGACGGGACGGCGGCCUAUCAGGUAGUUGGUGGUGUGACG
rnacentral:rRNA from 1 species